rnacentral:rRNA from 1 species
GACGAACGCUGGCGGCGUGCCUAAUACAUGCAAGUCGAGCGAACAGACGCGGAGCUUGCUCCUCUGACGUUUGCGGCGGACGGGUGUGUCACACGUGUAUACCCUACCUAUCAGACUGAGAUCACUUCGGGAAUCCGGCGCUUAUACCGGAGAAUCUAUUGAUCCGCAUGGGUCAUUAGUGAAUGUCGGCUUUGCUGUCUCUUCUCGCUGGUUUCGCGCUGCAUUAGCUAGUUGGUAAGGUAACGGCUUACGAAGGCAACGAUGCGUAGCCGACUUGAGAGGGUGGUCGGCCACACGGGAACGGAGACACGGACCAGAGUACUACGGUAGGCAGCAGUAUGGAAUGUGCCGCAAUAGGCGAAAGCCUGACAGAACAGCGCGACGUGUGAUAUGAAGGUCUUGGGAGCGUAAAACUCUGUUAUUGGGGAAGAACAAAUGUGUAAUUAAAUAUGCACUGAUUGACGGUAACGAAUCAGAAAGCCACGGCUAACUACGUG